rnacentral:rRNA from 1 species
UACGGGGGGGGCAAGCGUUGUUCGGAAUUACUGGGCGUAAAGGGCUCGUAGGUGGCCAACUAAGUCAUACGUGAAAUCCCUCGGCUUAACCGGGGAACUGCGUCUGAUACUGGUUGGCUUGAGUUUGGGAGAGGGAUGCGGAAUUCCAGGUGUAGCGGUGAAAUGCGUAGAUAUCAAGAGGAACACCUGAGGUGAAGACGGGUUGCUGGGCUGACACUGACGCUGAGGCGCGAAAGCCAGGGGAGCAAACGGG